AUAUUUGUAGGGCAGGGAACUGGGUAGGGUCAGCUGGUGAUUUUUCUGCUUCACUCGGUGUGGACAGAAGGCAUUCAGUGUUAAUCAGCUGACUGACUAGGAGAGUCCAAGAUGGCGUCACUCACAUGUCUGGGGCCUUGUGGGGACGGCUAGAAGCCUGGGCUCAGCAGGGACUGUCCACUGAGUGCUUCCUUGUGGCCUGUCCGGCACGGAGGCCUUGGGCUAGUUAGAAUUCUCACAUGGCAGCUCAGAGCUCCAACAGUGAGUGUUCAGCAAACAAAGCAGACGCUGUAAGCCCCUUUAUGACAGCCUGGGACGUCAGCUGCUCUGUCAGUCGGGGCAGCCUCAAGCCUUCCCAGAUUCAAGUGAGCUUCGUGGGAGAUGUAGUGUAGAAUUCGUGGCCAUAUUUUCCUAUUGCCCCUUUACCCCACGUUCCUAACUAUGGAUGGGCAUUUCCACUUCUCUUCCCUCAAAAAGGGCCACACACAGCUGAUACCAUGGGCCCUAGGAGAAGGACACCUGGCGAGGACAUCUAAUCCUGUCUGGCAGGAACAUUUGAGACUCAGGACUCCUGAAAGUUUACUUACCUCAUCCCUCCGCUUUCAGCCAACUCUUGCUGACAGGCUCUUCCAGAGAAAGUUUGCCCUGUGACCUGAGCCAGAACACACCCCAACCCUCUCUGGAGAGAAGCAGAGUCAAGGAAAGAAGAGAUUUCAUAGUGUGGACAGUGUUGGUUCUUCAGCGCCGAGGCCUCUCGAGUGUUGGUUUGCGUUUCUCACAGGCGGAGAGCACAGCAGGAAGGCCUGCUGUAGGAAGAGGAAGGACUUAAGGGGGAGGACUUCCAGGCAGGGAGGAGAGGGAGGAAUUGGGCAAUUUUGUAUGAGGGACUGAAACUGAGGCCAAAUAUCACCAUUUCAGUCUUGACAUUUAUCUGGAAUCAGGAUGUGCACACCAUCAAACCAUGUGACUUGGCACUACAAGAAGAUUUUGUUUUCUUUGCACUGAUUGUUGACAGUAUGUGAGGCCCAACCUACAUCAGAUCUUGGGACUGUGGGAGAAAGCUGCAGACAGCUGAGUUACAUCCAUGAUGUCUCUAUGUCAAUGAAUUAACCUACUCUGAAACUGUCCUACCUCCAGACUUCACGUGAUGCAAAUAAUAAAUAUUCUUCUUGUUUAAGCCAC
rnacentral:lncRNA from 1 species